CAGGCCUAACACAUGCAAGUCGAACGCCCUCUUCGGAGGGAGUGGCAGACGGGUGAGUAACACGUGGGAAUCUACCUAUCUCUGCGGAACAACACAUAGAAAUGUGUGCUAAUACCGCAUACGCCCUUCGGGGGAAAGAUUUAUCGGAGAUAGAUGAGCCCGCGCUUGAUUAGCUAGUUGGUGAGGUAAUGGCUCACCAAGGCGACGAUCAAUAGCUGGUCUGAGAGGAUGAUCAGCCACACUGGGACUGAGACACGGCCCAGACUCCUACGGGAGGCAGCAGUGGGGAAUAUUGGACAAUGGGCGCAAGCCUGAUCCAGCCAUGCCGCGUGAGUGAUGAAGGCCCUAGGGUUGUAAAGCUCUUUCAACGGUGAAGAUAAUGACGGUAACCGUAGAAGAAGCCCCGGCUAACUUCGUGCCAGCAGCCGCGGUAAUACGAAGGGGGCUAGCGUUGUUCGGAAUAACUGGGCGUAAAGCGCACGUAGGCGGAUUGGAAAGUUAGAGGUGAAAUCCCAGGGCUCAACCCUGGAACUGCCUUUAAAACUAUCAGUCUAGAGGUCGAGAGAGGUGAGUGGAAUUCCGAGUGUAGAGGUGAAAUUCGUAGAUAUUCGGAGGAACACCAGUGGCGAAGGCGGCUCACUGGCUCGAU
rnacentral:rRNA from 1 species